rnacentral:sRNA from 1 species
GCUGGGUGUGGUGGUGCACACCUGUAGUCCCAGCUACUUGGGAGGCCGAGGCGGGAGGAUCGCUUGAGCCUGGGAGGUGGAGGUUGCAGUGAGCCAAGAUCAUGCCACUGCACUCCAACCUGGGAAAGAGAGCAAGACCCUGUCUCAA